UGUGUGAGUCGCGACCAGGAAGGAAGAACAAGGGGGAAACCCUAACUACAUCAAUUAACAUCAAAAUUCAGCAAGUUUGUGAAGGAUUAGAGUCAAUAAUCGAAUGCUAGUGCCUAAAUACUCUCUAAUCCAAGUGUUUUGACCAUAAGGAACGAAAGAAGAAGGAGCUAGUUCCGGAUCACAAACAAAGGCUCAAGAUCGAGGUAAAGCACCCGUAUGAUUGUCACUGCGACGCUCGGAUACGAACACACCUUGAUCACCCGUGAUGCGCUUCCGCAACUUUUGUAGUAACCUUAUUAGUCAAAGGCUUUUGUUAAAGUUAGUUGUGUUUGAAGUUUUAAACUUUAACUAGAUGUUUAUAAGUACUUAAGUACCUGAACUUGAUGUUUGGAAUCGGUAGUUUAAAUGUUAAGAUCUUCUUUACGUUUUUGAAGGUGUCGUUAUUUGAGUC